UGCAGUCGAACGGUAACAGGAAGCAAGCUUGCUGCUUUGCUGACGAGUGGCGGACGGGUGAGUAAUGUCUGGGAAACUGCCUGAUGGAGGGGGAUAACUACUGGAAACGGUAGCUAAUACCGCAUAACGUCGCAAGACCAAAGAGGGGGACCUUCGGGCCUCUUGCCAUCGGAUGUGCCCAGAUGGGAUUAGCUAGUAGGUGGGGUAACGGCUCACCUAGGCGACGAUCCCUAGCUGGUCUGAGAGGAUGACCAGCCACACUGGAACUGAGACACGGUCCAGACUCCUACGGGAGGCAGCAGUGGGGAAUAUUGCACAAUGGGCGCAAGCCUGAUGCAGCCAUGCCGCGUGUAUGAAGAAGGCCUUCGGGUUGUAAAGUACUUUCAGCGGGGAGGAAGGGAGUAAAGUUAAUACCUUUGCUCAUUGACGUUACCCGCAGAAGAAGCACCGGCUAACUCCGUGCCAGCAGCCGCGGUAAUACGGAGGGUGCAAGCGUUAAUCGGAAUUACUGGGCGUAAAGCGCACGCAGGCGGUUUGUUAAGUCAGAUGUGAAAUCCCCGGGCUCAACCUGGGAACUGCAUCUGAUACUGGCAAGCUUGAGUCUCGUAGAGGGGGGUAGAAUUCCAGGUGUAGCGGUGAAAUGCGUAGAGAUCUGGAGGAAUACCGGUGGCGAAGGCGGCCCCCUGGACGAAGACUGACGCUCAGGUGCGAAAGCGUGGGGAGCAGACAGGAUUAGAUACCCUGGUAGUCCACGCCGUAAACGAUGUCGACUUGGAGGUUGUGCCCUUGAGGCGUGGCUUCCGGAGCUAACGCGUUAAGUCGACCGCCUGGGGAGUACGGCCGCAAGGUUAAAACUCAAAUGAAUUGACGGGGGCCCGCACAAGCGGUGGAGCAGGUGGUUUAAUUCGAUGCAACGCGAAGAACCUUACCUGGUCUUGACUUCCACGGAAGUUUUCAGAGAUGAAAAUGUGCCUUCGGGAACCGUGAAACAGGUGCU
rnacentral:rRNA from 1 species